rnacentral:rRNA from 1 species
CAAUACUUAGUGGCAGACGGGUGAGUAACAUGUAGGUAUCUGCCCUUUGGCCUGGAAUAACACGAGGAAACUUGUGCUAAUACCGGAUAAGUCUUUACGGAGAAAGCUUUAUGCACCAUUGGAUGAGCCUGCACUUGAUUAGUUUGUUGGUGGGGUAAUGGCCUACCAAGACUGUGAUCAAUAGCUGAUUUGAGAGGAUGAUCAGCCACAUUGGGACUGAGACACGGCCCAAACUCCUACGGGAGGCAGCAGUGGGGAAUCUUGCACAAUGGAGGAAACUCUGAUGCAGCGAUGCCGCGUGAGUGAAGAAGGCCCUUGGGUUGUAAAGCUCUUUCGUCGGGGAAGAAAAUGACUGUACCCGAAUAAGAAGGUCCGGCUAACUUCGUGCCAGCAGCCGCGGUAAUACGAAGGGACCUAGCGUAGUUCGGAAUUACUGGGCUUAAAGAGUUCGUAGGUGGUUGAAAAAGUUGGUGGUGAAAUCCCAGAGCUUAACUCUGGAACUGCCAUCAAAACUUUUCAGCUAGAGUAUGAUAGAGGAAAGCAGAAUUUCUAGUGUAGAGGUGAAAUUCGUAGAUAUUAGAAAGAAUACCAAUUGCGAAGGCAGCUUUCUGGAUCAUUACUGACGCUGAGGAACGAAAGCAUGGGUAGCGAAGAGGAUUAGAUACCCUCGUAGUCCAUGCCGUAAACGAUGUGUGUUAGACGUUGGAAAUUUAUUUUCAGUGUCGCAGCGAAAGCGAUAAACACACCGCCUGGGGAGUACGACCGCAAGGUUAAAACUC